CUAGCCGUAAACGAUGGAUACUAGGUGUAAGUGGUAUCGACCCCACUUGUGCCGCAGCUAACGCAUUAAGUAUCCCGCCUGGGGAGUACGGCCGCAAGGUUGAAACUCAAAGGAAUUGACGGGGGCCCGCACAAGCGGUGGAGCAUGUGGUUUAAUUCGUUACUAACCGAAGAACCUUACCCAGGCUUGACAUCCCCGGACAGCUUAUGAAAGUAAGCCUUCUCCCUCACAAGGGGAGACUGGGUGACAGGUGU
rnacentral:rRNA from 1 species